rnacentral:rRNA from 1 species
CCGGUGAGGUAGGCAGGCGGGACAGGAGCUGCACGGCUGUCGUCAGCUCGUGUCNUGAGAUGUUGGGCUAAGUCCCGCAACGAGCGCAACCCCUGCCCAUAGUUGCCAGCGGGUCGCCCACGUAGGUGGGCGAUGCUGGGGACUCUAUGGGGACUGCCGGCGAGGAGCCGGAGGAAGGAGGGGACGACGUCAAGUCCGUGUGGCCCUUAUGUCCGGGGCUACACACGCGCUACAAUGGGCGGUACAGAGGGAAGCGACCCCGCGAGGGGGAGCAAAUCCCUAAAACCGCCCCCAGUUCGGAUUGCAGGCUGAAACCCGCCUGCAUGAAGGAGGAGUCGCUAGUAAUCACCUAUCAGCUAUGGGGUGGUGAAUACGUUCCCGGGCUCUGUACUCACCGCCCGUCACGCCAUGGGAGCCGGGGGUGCCUGAAGCCCCACCGA